GUCAACCACCCCUGCCUAAAGGCAGAGGCUUGUGAAAGCAAGCCUUAGUUGACUAGCCCAAGUGAAGAGAAAUCCGAACUACGUUGGUUGGGAAUGUAUAGGCACCGCGGGAUGUCAAUCCCUAGUCCCGCGCUCUGC
rnacentral:sRNA from 1 species